AUCCGAAGUUGGCUCAGGCUGCUUCCAGCCCUGCGCUCAGCACUGCAGGAAGGAAGCUUUCAGGGCAUCCUCCACUGCUCUUCCAAGAGAUUCACCAAGGGGAGCCUACCCGCUGCUAGCGCUUGGGGCUGCUCAUCAUUAACCCUUGGGUGCUUCAGAUCAGGUCCUGAAAGCCCUCUAAAAACACCAUUUGCAACCUCAAGCCGUUUCCCUCUAUCCUGACCUGGGUUUAUUAUCGGGAGACAGAUAGAUUUUUCCUUCUUUCUCCCCAUCCAUUUAUUUCAACCAAUAAGACGAUCCAUCACGGCGAGCUGGAACCGACCUACGAUCCGGGGAUAUUCUUAGAUACUCAGCAUGUCAGGAAACGGCUCACAGCCCCACUUGAUGCAAAUAUUUGGACGAGCGAGAGGUUUCUGGCCAGCAGCUCCAAGGACUGUCACAGCCAUGUUGUGCGUUUGGGAACGUCAUGCAAUGGGGCUUUAACUGUGAAUGGAGGACAUCCUGGCCCCACUAUGGGUGGGAUAAGAACAACUCUCACCUCAAGGGUGAGUGUUUGGAAGUGGAGGGGGGCAGUGAUGGGGGCAGGCUUCCCUGAGAAGCAAAUCAGCACACGUGCACCCAAAAUUUCCCAAACCACAACCUUAUGGAGGCUCUUUUGGCUGUAGGGUGCACUGAUGACAGAGCCAGCUCCCACCAUCUGUGGAUUUCCUCAUCCUGGCAGCUCAGUGGGGAGCAGCAGGUCCUAGCUAAAUGCCUUGUGGUCCAGAUGCCAUGGACCAUCCCCCCUGGAUUCAAUAAGAGCAGUGCCCCUACAACACCAUGGUGAGCAGUUGCAUGGAGGUUUGAGCCAUCCCAGGGUGGAGAUCACCUUCUCCAUCCCCACAUUUGCCAUAAGCCCAAACCCAGCCCCAUCACAUGCAAUGAUAAAAAGGGAACUGGCAGCACAAAACUCGUUGUGAUUUCCAGGCUGAUGUCUGCACAACCCUACUGGCUUCUCCGAAAGAACCAAGAGACACAAACCUGUUCUGUCCUAAGGUUUCCCAUUAAGCUAAUUACUGCUAAUUGUACCACUUGGCUAUCUCACCAACCGCACCCUGAGCAGGGCUGAUAGGGUAUCAGUGAGAUAAGAAGCACUCGAAUAGCACAGGUAACAGAACUUUGGGAGGGGUUAUCACCCCUACCACCCUCCUUUGGGGGACACUGAGGUCAUAAGGAUGUGUGCAGGGGCUGGCACACAACUAUAAGCCUUUCAGGAAAUGCUACCGAGGGGUUUUGGUGACUGUUCUCUGCAAGUUGCAGAGAAGCAAGCUGGCAUUCAUUUCAUAGUAAUUCCUUUAAAUUCACUUAGCAUGCGGAUUAUUUGUAUGAGCUAUUUUUGUUGCUGUUAACACAACACUGUGGAAAUGGAGGUUUCAUUAUUUCUCCAUUUUUUCCCCCCUCCCACAGAGAAAUAAAUGCUGUUCUUUUAACAAAUGCUGUAUUUCUCACUUCAUUUCUGAUUUCUCCCCAUCUCUGCUGGCCUACCUGAAGCAAUUCAGCUCCCACACUGGCACUAGGUAGGGAUUACUAUCACCUGCUUACUAAAGAAGAGACUUGGACAAGGUGUUCUUAUUUGAAAACAUUUUUGGUACAUGACUUGCAAUAAGAUACUUGGAAUUUUCACACUCAGAGAUAUAUUUUGUUAGGUGUAUAGUCUCCCCAGCACAUGCAGCUUCUGGCUGUGAGUGUAUAAAAGCACAUCACAUCUGGCAGGUAAAACACACUGGCCACAUCAACACCUACAUGUUGUCUUGCACUCAUAUGUUUCAGAGCUUGCUGAUGCAACUACUGCACCUCAUAGAGGCAGGUGUGCUACACAGCGUGGCUGAACUGGGCAACUCAUGGCUGAGUCCCCUCACCCGAGGCUUGGGAUGUUGUUCAUGUCCAUUGCUCCAUGUAUAAGAGCAACACUGGAAGUCUGGAAAGCCAGUUAGGCAGACAGACAGACAGGACAUUUUCUUCUGUAAGGUACCCUGAUCAUCUGCUCUUCCUUUCAGAGCCUGGUCUGCAUUCACAUUGGUUUAAGUUACCCGAGUUUCUCAUUGUCCUACAGUGAAGCUCAUAACAAAGCCUGUGGCCAGCUCUUUCUUCGAUAAUUCCUUUCCCCCAUUUGUUUAUCUCAAGUAGUGAGCUUUGUUCCAGGCCCAAAACCAAAAGCCUUUCUACCCUGUUCUCUCCUUGACUUGUUGCAGAUGUAACGAAAUAAAUCUUUAGCAAGAACAAACCUUCACUUCCUCUCUCAGUCACAAACCCCAGGAAAGAAAAAUAAAUCACAACGUGAGCUCACCCGCUCUCGGAGGAUACCACGUUACUCCUGAAGGCCACCACUCAAACUGGAGGUGUCCGUCCCUCAGAGAGAUCAACGAAUGCAGCAAAUUAAUGAGCAGCAUCAGCCCAAGCUUUGACAUGAAACCAGCCCUGAAAACAAAGCCAUGUGCAGUGCCAUGAGCCAGGCAAUCCUAAUUCUCCAUGUCACCUUCCCAUUCCGUGGCCUGUUGGUGGGACAAAGAGUUGGUACCCAUGAAAUCACCAUUUUAAGUGUGGCCAAAGUCAAGAGCGGAUAAAAGCCUGCCACGAUCAGUCUGAAUCACGGUUGAUGUGAUGGCCAGCAAUGGUCAGGAGUGGGACUGUGCUGCUGGUGUGCUCCCAGCAUUCAUCCCUUGGGCACUGAGGGCCAAUGAGUAUCUCUGGUUCAUCCCAAAACUCUGCCCCUCGUCUCCCCUAAUCCACCUAAUGCCUUUUCAACUGGAACCGGAAAAAGCAGCAGCAGGGUGUGUUUGUUUUUCUCAAUUGGCCGUGGCAAAGAGGUAGAAAUACACCUCCAAAUAGCAUUUCCUCCUCUCCUGAGAGAAGUCUCCGUAUGAGAGCUGUGUUGCUCAGGAAGCCUCAAACCAUCUCUGAAUGUGACCAAAUUAUAACAGCUGUGUCUCCGGUUGACACAGGUCUAAGAUAAAGACGGAUUGACUUUAAGCUGGGAGUACAAAACUGCACAGAAGCAGCGAUGUGGAUUUACACCAGAUCGCUUUUAUUCCUUCAAGGAUACUCAGGGGGAGAUGAACCAUAAGAUACCCACAAAUCGUGCUGAAGUCAGAAGACAUUUGGCCCAGACACUUCAGGGGGCUGAAAUGAGACUUUCCUCCUCCUUCUUCUUCUUUUUUUAAACAAGAGAUCUUUGCAGUUUUGAAACAAUCCGUACAGUUAGCAUUGAAGAAAGUGUAAUUAGACACUUGGAGGACUGGAAGAAAUUAACUCCAACCACAGGCUGUCACUCAGACCAUUAUUUAAUUAUUCUCCCCAAAUGCGCAAAGCACUUAGUUUUAGAAUAACAGGAAAGAAGUCUAACUCCUCACCAACAGCUCAGUCUCUGGAUGGGGACACAUGCACAUAAAGCCAAUGGGCUCCCAAGCCAUAGGAUGGGGACAGGAACAAGCGCCUUGGGCACAACUUUGGGCUCUGAAGGAUGUGAUUGAUGCCUGAAUGGCUGGAACCCAGUCAACGGGAGUGCCCAGCCCAAGGUGCAACAGGCUGCGGGAGAGAAGAUCGCCUUCAGUUUCCAACAUGCCAAGGAAACCACUGAGAAAUUGCUGUUUUCCUUCUUCUGCAGCACCGGGCAGAGCCGUUGACUCACCCCUUGCUACAGAAGCCUGGCUAGAAAGAGAUUAUUGUGAUUUCUGACUGUUUCUUUCCUAACUACAAAAGGCCCCAUUCAUCUGGGCUAAUUUUGACGGGAGAGCAAGGGGUAUCAGUAGCAUGAACUGUAUCUGAGCGUCUCGACCGCAUUUCAGCAAGCCAUGCUUGUUGGCCAGUUCCAGCCAGUGAAAUGGAUAUCCUCCAUUUCAAGCUUUUUAGUGGAUCGUUUCUCUGGUUCUAAACAGAGGUAUCUUUUCUGGCCGUGGCAAGUUUGAGAAGUACUGACGAAGCAGAGACGGCCAUUUUCAUGGCAGGAACAAGAGGCCAUUUAAAAAGGGGGAAAGGGCUGUUCUGCUCGAUCAGUGCACCAGCAUUUGUCUACCUACAUGCACCAUGCAUGUGCACCGAGGCUGGGCCCAGAACAGUGAAUCUCUGCCUUAUUUCCAAGGUCUGAACAAAACAUACUUUUAUUUUUAUUUUUUGAAAAUGCUAAAUUUGCUUAAUUGCGAGCCUUUGUGGAGCUCAGCUGGGACUGCCUGCGUGUGUGGGAAGGGCUGGAACGUAAUUGCUUUCAGCAGAUAUCACUGUAGUCUGUAAUUAAAACAUAUGAGGCUGCCAGCUUCAGAUUUUCUAAGUGAUUUCAUCUGUAUUUGGGUGAUCACCUCUCUCUGAGAGGCUCAUAUUAAAUGAUAUUUCAAGUUCCAGUGCACCAAAUGGGUGAAAAACAAUUUUGUCCUCUCCUUCUUGUAGUCUCCAAGCAAGUCACCUAGGCAGCUUGGAGAGGCAGAGCUCAGACCUCAUACGCACAUCCCUUCACCAGGGAAAUGCUUGGUGAAAGCUGCUCAAGAAGUGCUGCUCCAGAGACAGAGCGGAAGGUGUUGAUAAAGCUUGUUAAAGAAAAAGGAAGGGGGGAAAAAAGGCUAACAAAAAAAAUCUGGCACCUCCUAAAUCAGAGUGACAAUUUCAGUGCAGUGUUUACAUGAGGUAGUAAAAAUAAAUUGCCUGAGACUGAUUAUACCCACAUGGCACUCUAAAGGCAACAGGGAUGUCCCCCAGUAUCAGAAACCCAACACGGGGGAAAUACGUGAUGAUGGCAACCCUCAGCCCAUUGGGGCCAGCACUGCUUUGUUACUUGCCUCAAUAGGUGGAAGCAGCAGUGAGAAGAGGGAUCUGCAACUCCCCACAGAUAGACAUGAUCGCCCCAGGAGCCAUGGUUGGCUUACAAGGCCACUGCUGUUGAGUCCUACAAGGGCUGUAGACAAAGGAGCGUGUGGGUUUGGGGCAUCCUCAAGCUUGGACAACAUACGCCUGCUGGAUCAAAAUGGGUAAUGGAAGAAGGCAAAGAUGAUAGCAUCACUGUUAGAAUUGUAAUGAGUCACAAAUGCUAUUUUGAUGGUUUUCUUUGAAAGACAUGCACAAGAGCCAACCGAUGUAAUUGAAGAUCUCCAAGGCUUUGUAAUCAGCACGGCCACAAACGAAGGCAAACCUACUUUCAUGUGGUAGAAUACAAGAGGAGGUUCCCCAU
ensembl:lncRNA